rnacentral:rRNA from 1 species
UGGGGAAUAUUGCACAAUGGGCGCAAGCCUGAUGCAGCCAUGCCGCGUGUAUGAAGAAGGCCUUCGGGUUGUAAAGUACUUUCAGCGGGGAGGAAGGCGAUAAGGUUAAUAACCUUGUCGAUUGACGUUACCCGCAGAAGAAGCACCGGCUAACUCCGUGCCAGCAGCCGCGGUAAUACGGAGGGUGCAAGCGUUAAUAGGAAUUACUGGGCGUAAAGCGCACGCAGGCGGUCUGUCAAGUCGGAUGUGAAAUCCCCGGGCUCAACCUGGGAACUGCAUUCGAAACUGGCAGGCUAGAGUCUUGUAGAGGGGGGUAGAAUUCCAGGUGUAGCGGUGAAAUGCGUAGAGAUCUGGAGGAAUACCAGUGGCGAAGGCGGCCCCCUGGACAAAGACUGACGCUCAGGUGCGAAAGCGUGGGGAGCAAACA